AUUGAACGCUGGCGGCAGGCCUAACACAUGCAAGUCGAACGAGUGGCGGACGGGUGAGUAAUGUCUGGGAAACUGCCUGAUGGAGGGGGAUAACUACUGGAAACGGUAGCUCAUACCGCAUACCAUCAGAUGUGCCCAGAUGGGCUUAGCUAGUUGGGGGGGUAAUGGCUCACCAAGGCGACGAUCCCUAGCUGGUCUGAGAGGAUGACCAUCCACACGAUGACUGAGACAAGGUCCAGACUCCGACGGGAGGCAGCAGAGGGGAAUAUUGCACAAGGGGCGCAAGCCGGAUGCAGCCAUGCCGCGUGUGUGAAGAAGGAAUUCGGGUUAUAAAGUACUUUCAGCGGGGAGGCGUUACCCGAAGAAGAAGCACCGGCUAACUCCGUGCCAGCAGCCGCGGUAAUUC
rnacentral:rRNA from 1 species